UACGUAGGGUGCGAGCGUUAAUCGGAAUUACUGGGCGUAAAGCGUGCGCAGGCGGUUUUGUAAGCCAGAUGUGAAAUCCCCGGGCUUAACCUGGGAAUGGCAUUUGGGACUGCAAGGCUGGAGUGCGGCAGAGGAGACUGGAAUUCCUGGUGUAGCAGUGAAAUGCGUAGAUAUCAGGAGGAAUACCGGUGGCGAAGGCGGGUCUCUGGGCAACAACUGACGCUGAGGAGCGAAAGCGUGGGGAGCGAACAGG
rnacentral:rRNA from 1 species